CCUACGGGCGGCAGCAGUGGGGAAUAUUGCACAAUGGAGGGAACUCUGAUGCAGCGACGCCGCGUGAGUGAAGAAGUAAUUCGUUAUGUAAAGCUCUAUCAGUAGGGAAGAAAGUGACGGUACCUGAAAAAGAAGCUCCGGCUAAAUACGUGCCAGCAGCCGCGGUAAUACGUAUGGAGCAAGCGUUAUCCGGAUUUACUGGGUGUAAAGGGAGAGUAGGUGGCAGAGCAAGUCCGAAGUGAAAACCCAAAGCUCAACUAUGGGAAUGCUUUAGAAACUGUAUAGCUUGAGUACUGGAGAGGCAGGCGGAAUUCCUAGUGUAGCGGUGAAAUGCGUAGAUAUUAGGAGGAACACCAGUUGCGAAGGCGGCCUGCUAGACAGAAACUGACGUUGAGGCUCGAAAGCGUGGGGAGCAAACAGGAUUAGAUACCCCAGUAGUC
rnacentral:rRNA from 1 species